rnacentral:lncRNA from 1 species
CUUGGGGAAAAGUAUAUUUGCUUCUAUAGAAGAAUGCAUCAGAUAGAGCUUAGCAAAAUUUUGUGGUUUUGGUAGCCCUGGCCAGUUAAUAGGAUCAAAUGCUUGGUUGACUGAUUGAUUAUUUAUGCAGAAAUCACCAUUAUGAUAAGAAAAAAGAAGUCGCCUCAAAGGUUCCAAGAAACAUGAAAGCAGAAGCCAAAUAGGUCCAAGGAGAAGCUGA